UCAUUAUGUUAGACUGCACAGGGAAGCCAUUGAAAUCCACAAACACCAGCAGAGCUUCAACAAAAAGGAAGAAAGUCUAAAACUCAACAAAGCCUGGCUGCCAGCACUGAAAAAUACCGCCUGCAAAAGGUCAACAAACUCUACCCAGCCACAAAGACUGGUGAUCACUGAACACAAAAGACCAGCUAACGACACCCAUCAAUCACAGUGACAGAUCAUCUCUCCCCCUUAUCACAAUACACCCACAACAAAAACCACGCUGAUCACCACAAUCACCCAAUCUCCUGAAAAGGACAAAAGCUGAUCCCACAGCUGUAAAUACUCAACUAUCCCACAAACUGCACCAGAACACAGAGUUCUGACUCCUAUCCUCUGAAGAUGCUGGCCACAGAGACUGAUGAAACGUUAGGAAGAAAAACCAUCAGAACACAGCCAAACAGCCCGAAAAACCUACAGCAACCAUAGGAGAGAGUUUACUCAGAGGUUCAGCCCCAAGAUGGCUCUUCUCUUGGGCCAAAGACUCAGAUGCUACAAACGGAAGAUACAAAGAAGCAUUUAGUAACCAUGAUAUGUCCAACACUUGGAAUAAACUGGCUUACAAUCAAAAUCCGCCAGGUUUGUAUUUCUUGAGUGCUUGAGUAAGCUCUGGCUU
rnacentral:lncRNA from 1 species